rnacentral:lncRNA from 1 species
UGUGGUAAUGCCAAUAGGGAGAGGACGGUAAAUAGGUGUGGUAAUGCCAAUAGGGAGAGGACGGUUAAUAGGUGUGGUAAUCAUAUUCUUGAUAUGUCAAACACUGGCAAAACGAUCCUGUCUAUGAAAAAUCAAAAUUUGUUGAAUUUUAUUAUGAAAUAAUAUUUCUAGUGCGCAUUAAAUCAAUUAAUUCCAAGGAAACUGCUGGUUAAAGGUUUAAUUCUCACUAUUCAGUUACAGACAGGUCUGGAGCAAAACAAAAAUAAUUGACAGAACUAUAUGUAUGGCCUCCUUUAAAAAGCUUUUGUACGGAUUUGGAAAUAUUUAGUUUAAGAUUCACUAUGUCUUUGAACUUUAUACGUUUGACUUUUUUCAAAUAAAAUGGAUGAUAAUAACUGUGGGUGAAGUAUGAAGUCUUGCUUAUAUCAACCAAGGUAGAAGAGUACUACAUAAAAUGUAAGAAUGCCAAGUGUCUGUUGAAAAUUUUGUCCACCAAAAGUAACAAGUUCGUUUAAAAAAAAAUCAAGCAUCAUAUCAGUUUCACAGUUAUGAACUCUUGUUUGAAUAGGUUUUUUU